ACAAUGUUCUCCAGGCAGCGGCGGCAGAAGGUGUGCUGGCACGGCAGUACCUUGGCCGUGGUGUCCAGGCGCUCCAGGCACACCGAGCACUCCAGCAGAUCCAGAAGCGACGAAGACUCGUCCAUGUCGGCGGAGAGGGGUAGACAGUCAGUGAGGGGUGCCCAGUUUGCUUAUGGCUUGGCAAGUCAGGAAGCCCCUGGAUCGACAUCAAUGAGCCUAUGAAAGGAUGAGGGAGACAGAGAGAGAAGAAAGAAAAAAGAGAAGAGGAUGGAGAAAGACCGACGGAAAGAGAGAGACAGACUGACAGAGGGACAGAGAAAGUUGAAGAAAAAAGAGAGAGUGACCAAAAAAAGAGAGCGACAGAGGUAAGGAGAAGGAGAGAAAGAGGGGCUGAGGGAAAGACAGAGACAGAGACAGAGAGGGAGAGUAAGUAAUUACAGGACUCCCAGUGUUUUCAAAGCCCCUCUUUUAUGUCCCCCUUCCUGUGGCUGAGAAAAGGAGAAGCAGCGGAAAGGAAGAGGAGGAGGAGGAGAAGGAGGAGGAAGACUAAAGUCCAGCUUUAGUCCCACUCAGACAACAGGCACCAGUCAUCAACAUCACACACACACAAACACACUCAAAGUAAUUUAUAGCUUCUGUUUCAAAAGAAAGAAGAAGCAUGUGUGUGUGUGUGUGUGUGUGUGUGUGUGUGAUAGCACCAGUGAAAGAAGCAACAUUAGCAGUUGUAUUCAGUGGGUAAAAGUAACUAAGUACAUGUACGGAAGCACUGUACAUAACUAAGUUCAUUUUUUAAUGUACUUUAAGUAUUUCAAUGAUUCCACAACC